rnacentral:rRNA from 1 species
UCAAAGGAAUUGACGGGGCCCGCACAAGCGGUGGAGUAUGUGGUUAAUUCGAUGCAACGCGAAGAACCUUACCUGGUCUUGACAUCCCGGAGACCCUUAGGAAACUAGGGGGUGCUUCCAUCUGGAAGAAUCUGGAGACAGGUGCUGCAUGGCUGUCGUCAGCUCGUGUCGUGAGAUGUUGGGUUAAGUCCCGCAACGAGCGCAACCCUUGCCUUUAGUUGCCAGCAGUUCGGCUGGGCACUCUAAAGGGACUGCCGGUGUUAAACCGGAGGAAGGUGGGGAUGACGUCAAGUCCUCAUGGCCUUUAUGACCAGGGCUACACACGUACUACAAUGGCCGAUACAAAGGGCAGCGACACUGCGAGGUGAAGCCAAUCCCGUAAAAUCGGUCUCAGUCCGGAUUGGAGUCUGCAACUCGACUCCAUGAAGUUGGAAUCGCUAGUAAUCGUGGAUCAGCAUGCCACGGUGAAUACGUUCCCGGGCCUU